AUUGAACGCUGGCGGCAGGCCUAACACAUGCAAGUCGAACGAGUGGCGGACGGGUGCGUAAUGUCUGGGAAACUGCCUGAUGGAGGGGGAUAACUACUGGAAACGGUAGCUAAUACCGCAUACCAUCGGAUGUGCCCAGAUGGGAUUAGCUAGUAGGUGGGGUAAAGGCUCACCUAGGCGACGAUCCCUAGCUGGUCUGAGAUGAUGACCAGCCACUCUGAACCUGAGACACGGUCCAGACGCGUACGGGAGGCAGCAGUGGGGAAUAUUGCAGAAUGGGCGCAAGCCAGAUGCAGCCAUGCCGCGUGUAUGAAGAAGGCCUUCGGGUUGUAAAGUACAUUAAGCGGGGAGGCGUUACCCGCAGAAGAAGCACCGGCUAACUCCGUGCCAGCCGCCGCGGUAAUAC
rnacentral:rRNA from 1 species